rnacentral:rRNA from 1 species
UACGGAGGGUGCAAACGUUGCUCGGAAUCAUUUGGGCGUAAAGCGCACGUAGGCGGCUCGUUAAGUCGGAUGUGAAGCCCUCGGCUCAACCGAGGAAGUGCAUACGAAACUGGCGAGCUUGAAUAUGGAAGAGGGUCGCGGAAUUCCCGGUGUAGAGGUGAAAUUCGUAGAUAUCGGGAGGAACACCAGUGGCGAAGGCGGCGACCUGGGCCAAUAUUGACGCUGAGGUGCGAAAGCGUGGGGAGCAAACAGG